CCGGGAAGAAGGUACAACCAAUAUAAAACGAAGCCCACAUAAGACAGAACUAGUGAGGCCCAUGUUUAGCUUCCCUCGCUCAGAGUCACCGUUCCACCGCCGGAAUCCGGUCGGCCGCCGCCGUCCCCCCACACGCCCCCAUGCUCCACUCCGCACCAUCUCGCCAGAUAAGGGUCUAACUGGUGACCUUUACUCCUGCAUCAGUUUCUCUCACCUCCUCCGCCUGCAUCUAAUGUUUUAUGCAGCUAUAUAUGCGAAUAUCAUGAAGAUUGUUUACAAACCGAAGACAUGCUGAUAAAGCUUAACUGGCUGCAGUAAGAGCCCCCAUCAAAGAAGGUGUCACCUAGGUCAAUUUUCCAUGGAACUUGAUCUCACUGCCCUCUCUAUCAGUUGCAAUUUAUAGAGACUGGUGUGAUGUGGGAUAAUACAAUAGAUCAGGUGUGGGUAGAACCCUGGAACUGGAAGCAUACCUGGAGCAGCAUAGCCAACUGUUCCUCUCAUUGUAGCCCAGCCACUUGAUUUCUCUAAGAAAUCACUACCCUCCUGACGCAGGGCUCUUGCAAGCCCAAAAUCACCAACAUGAGCAACCAUGUUACUAUCAAGGAGGAUAUUGCUUGGCUUGAGAUCACAGUGAAUUACUGGCAAUG